rnacentral:rRNA from 1 species
GAAUAUUGGACAAUGGGCGCAAGCCUGAUCCAGCCAUACCGCGUGGGUGACGAAGGCCUUCGGGUUGCAAAGCCAUUUUGUUGGGAAAGAAAAGCAGUCGGCUAAUACCCGGUUGUUUUGACGGUACCCAAAGCAUACGCACCGGCUACCUUCGUGCCAGCAGCCGCGGUAAUACGAAGCGUGCAAGCGUUACUCGGAAUUACUGGGCGUAAAGCUUUCGUAGGUGGUUGUUUAAGUCUGUUGUGAAAGCCCUGGGCUCAACCUGGGAAUUGCAGUGGAUACUGGGCGACUAGAGUGUGGUAGAGGGUAGUGGAAUUCCCGGUGUAGCAGUGAAGUGCGUAGAGAUCGGGAGGAACAUCCAUGGCGAAGGCAGCUACCUGGACCAACACUGACACUGAGGCACGAAAGCGUGGGGAGCAAACA